rnacentral:rRNA from 1 species
CCUACGGGAGGCAGCAGUGAGGAAUAUUUGUCAAUGGACGAGAGUCUGAACCAGCCAAGUAGCGUGAAGGAUGACUGCCCUAUGGGUUGUAAACUUCUUUUAUAAAGGAAUAAAACGCGGCACGUGUGCCUUUUUGCAUGUACUUUAUGAAUAAGGAUCGGCUAACUCCGUGCCAGCAGCCGCGGUAAUACGGCGAAUCCGAGCGUUAUCCGGAUUUAUUGGGUUUAAAGGGAGCGUCGAUGGGUUGUUAAGUCAGUUGUGAAAGUUUGCGGCUCAACCGUAAAAUUGCAAUUGAUACUGGCAGGCUGGAGUACAGUUGAGGUAGGCGGAAUUCGUGGUGUAGCGGUGAAAUGCUUAGAUAUCACGAAGAACCCCGAUUGCGAAGGCAGCUUACUAAACUGUGACUGACAUUGAUGCUCGAAAGUGUGGGUAUCAAACAGGAUUAGAUACCCCAGUAGUC